AGCCGUCGCGUGCCUAGCAUGCUGCAUGGAAGCCGAAGCUUGACCUCCCGCGUGACCCCUCUGGUCAGCCGGGCCCCUCAGAUGAGAAUUGCACCCAGGCCAGCACCAGCCGCUAAGCCACCAGCAGCGGCACCCCCAUCUGCAGUUGGCUGUCCUGCUGCUGCGCCUCAGCAGCCAGGUCUGAUGGCCCAGAUGGCAACCACUGCAGCUGGCGUGGCUGUGGGCUCUGCUGUCGGGCACACAUUGGGUCACACCAUUACUGGGGGAUUUAGUGGAGGAAGUAAUGCUGAGCCUGCGAGACCUGACAUUACUUACCAGGAGCCUCAGGGAGCCCAGCUGGUACAGCAGCAGCAGCCUUGCUUCUAUGCGAUCAAACAGUUUUUGGAGUGUGCCGAGAACCAGGAUGACAUCAAGCUCUGUGAGGGUUUCAAUGAGGUGCUGAAACAGUGCUGACUUGCAAAAGGAUUGGCCUAAUCAAGAAGUUCAACCUGGAGAAAUGGGAAAUCAGCUCUAUAACCAAGUUAAUUUAGUAUAAAAAUAGAAUUGAUAGUGAAGGUAUAAAGUGUAACCAUUAGUUGCUUCCUUGCUUCUGAAUUGAAAUGGAAGGAGGUGUUCCUACUCUGUAGAAGUUGGAGCUGGGCACAUGUUUGU